UAGGGAAUAUUGCUCAAUGGGAGAAAUCCUGAAGCAGCAACGCCGCGUGGAGGAUGAAGGGUCUAUGACUUGUAAACUCCUGUAAAGAAGGAAAAAAUUCCCAUUAGAUGGGAGAUGAUGGUACUUCUGGAGUAAGCCCCGGCUAACUACGUGCCAGCAGCCGCGGUAAUACGUAGGGGGCAAGCGUUGUCCGGAUUUACUGGGUGUAAAGGGUGCUCAGGCGGAUUUGUAAGUCAGAGGUGAAAUCUUACAGCUUAACUGUGAAACUGCCUUUGAUACUGCAAGCCUAGAGUAUGGAAGAGAGUGAUGGAAUAUCUGGUGUAGCAGUGAAAUGCGUAGAUAUCAGAUAGAACACCAAUGGCGAAGGCAGUCACUUGGUCCAUUACUGACGCUAAAGCACGAAAGCGUGGGUAGCAAACA
rnacentral:rRNA from 1 species